rnacentral:rRNA from 1 species
GGAAUAGGGUGUAACGACAAUGUCAAAGCUGAGCUAAAACAGGUGGUGGGUAUUGAGUCUGAAGCACUGAGCGAGCGGUACCUAGGACUACCAACACUGGUGGGCAAGUCGAAAGAUGGUACUUUCAAAUAUGUGGUGGAAAGCUCAAAAGGCAAGGUGACAGGAUGGAAAGGGCAAGGGUUGUCCAAGGCAGCGAGAGAGGUACUCGUUAAAUCGGGAUUACAAGCGACACCGACUUUUACCAUGAGUUGUUUUCAUCUCACAAAGAAGAUAUGCCAGAACCUGACUUCGAUCUCUUCGAAAUUC